rnacentral:rRNA from 1 species
CAAUAGCGUAUAUUAAAGUUGUUGCAGUUAAAAAGCUCGUAGUUGAAUUUCUGUCAGGAGUGACCGGGCCUUUGGAUGAACUUCCAUUGUUUUUUGCUCUGUUUGUCAUCUCUAGACAUCCUGAAAUAUUUUUUAAAAAUAUUUCUCUUUUACUGUUAGCAAAAUAGAGUGUUCCAAGCAAAGCGUAGUUUCGAAUACAUUAGAAUGGAAUAAUAAGAUAGGACUUUGGUGCUAUUUUGUUGGUUUGCACACCAAGGUAAUGAUUAAUAGGGACAGUUGGGGGUAUUCGUAUUUAAUUGUCAGAGGUGAAAUUCUUGGAUUUAUGAAAGACGAACUACUGCGAAAGCAUUUACCAAGGAUGUUUUCAUUAA